GCCUCUUUAGCUCAGUUGGUAGAGCAAUUCAUUCGUAAUGAAUAGGUCGACGGUUCAAGUCCGCCAAGAGGCU
rnacentral:tRNA from 1 species